rnacentral:tRNA from 1 species
GUUUGGGUGGUGUAGUUGGUUAUCACGUUAGUCUUACACACUAGAGGUCCUUGGUUCGAACUUGGUCUCAGACA